AAGUCUGAGUUAGAAUAGUUUGUAAGAGUGUGAUUAUAAAAACUGUGGCUGAGGCUGUGAAAGUAGAUUAGUGUGUAGAAGAGUUUACCCGUUCGGUGCGAUGACGUUUAAAGGUGAAGUAAGCCAUUUUUGAGAAACCGAGUUGCACGACACACUUGUAGCCAAUCAGAAGUAGGGGGCAUGUCAACUCAUGAUGAGGAGGAUAGAGUGAGCCAAUCAGCAUCAGGGGGCGUGUCCACUCAUGAUAAGGAGAGAGUGAGCCAAUCAGAAGUAGGGGGCGUGUCCACUCAUGAUGAGGAGGAGAGAGUGAAUCAGCAGUAGGGGGCGUGUCCACUCAUGAUGAGGAGAGAGUGAAUCAGCAGUAGGGGGCGUAUCCACUCAUGAUGAGGAAAGAGUGAGCCAAUCAGAAGUAGGGGGCGUGUCCACUCAUGAUGAGGAGAGAGUGAGCCAAUCAGAAGUAGGGGGCGUAUCCACUCAUGUUGAGGAGGAGAGAGUGAAUCAGCAGUAGGGGGCAUGUCCACUCAUGAUGAGGAGAGAAGAGUGAGCCAAUCAGAAGUAGGGGGCGUGUCCACUCAUGAUGAGGAUAGAAGAGUGAGCCAAUCAGAAGUAGGGGGCGUGUCCACUCAUGAUGAGGAGAGAGUGAGCCAAUCAGAAGUAGGGGGCGUGUCCAGUCAUGAGGAGGAGAGAGUGAAUCAGCAGUAGGGGGCGUGUCCACUCAUGAUGAAGAGAGAGUGAGCCAAUCAGAAGUAGGGGGCGUGUCCACUGAUGAUGAGGAUAGAGUGAGCCAAUCAGAAGUAGGGGGCGUGUCCACUCAUGAUGAGGAGAGAGUGAGCCAAUCAGAAGUAGGGGGCGUGUCAAGUCAUGAUGAGGAGAGAGUGAAUCAGCAGUAGGGGGCGUGUCCACUUAUGAUGAGGAGAGAGU